ACUCCGUGAUGAGAAAUAGCCAAAUCUGAGCACCUAUAAGAUCGGCUGGUCUAUAUGGUGCAUGAUUUAUACCCUGUUCUGGGA